AUUGAACGCUGGCGGCAUGCCUUACACAUGCAAGUCGAACGCGAAAGGGGGGCAACCCCCGAGUAGAGUGGCGGACGGGUGAGUAAUACAUUGGAACGUACCCAGUAGUGGGGGACAACCUCGAGAAAUCGAGGCUAAUACCGCAUACGACCCACGGGUGAAAGCGGGGGACCGCAAGGCCUCGCGCUAUUGGAGCGGCCGAUGUCCGAUUAGCUAGUUGGUGGGGUAAGAGCCCACCAAGGCGACGAUCGGUAGCUGGUCUGAGAGGACGACCAGCCACACUGGGACUGAGACACGGCCCAGACUCCUACGGGAGGCAGCAGUGGGGAAUUUUGGACAAUGGGGGCAACCCUGAUCCAGCCAUGCCGCGUGCGGGAAGAAGGCCUUCGGGUUGUAAACCGCUUUCGGCCGGAACGAAAUCGCCGGGGAGAACAUCCCCGGUGGAUGACGGUACCGGAAGAAGAAGCACCGGCUAACUACGUGCCAGCAGCCGCCGCGGUAA
rnacentral:rRNA from 1 species